rnacentral:rRNA from 1 species
GCACGAGAAAGGGCUUCGGCCCCGGUACAGUGGCGCACGGGUGAGUAACACGUGGGUAAUGUUCCCUCGGGCGGGGGAUAACCCUCCGAAAGGAAGGCUAAUACCGCAUAAGACCACGGCUUCGAAAGAGGCCGAGGUAAAAGCAGGCCUCUUCAUGAAAGCUUGCACCUGAGGAUCAGCCCGCGGCCCAUCAGCUAGUUGGCAGGGUAAGAGCCUACCAAGGCUAAGACGGGUAGCUGGUCUGAGAGGAUGAUCAGCCUCACUGGGACUGAGACACGGCCCAGACUCCUACGGGAGGCAGCAGUGGGGAAUAUUGGACAAUGGGCGCAAGCCUGAUCCAGCCAUGCCGCGUGGGUGAUGAAGGCCCUAGGGUUGUAAAGCCCUUUCGGCGGGGAAGAUAAUGACGGUACCCGCAGAAGAAGCCCCGGCUAACUUCGUG